rnacentral:ncRNA from 1 species
CGAAUCCUUCGGGGCAGGGUGAAAUUCCCGACCGGCGGUGAUGGUGUAGCGACACCUCAGCCCGUGACCCGCGCAAGCGGUGGACUCGGUGAAAUUCCGGGGCCGACAGUAUAGUCUGGAUGGGAGAAGGAUGAU